rnacentral:rRNA from 1 species
CCUACGGGCGGCAGCAGUGGGGAAUAUUGCGCAAUGGGGGAAACCCUGACGCAGCGACGCCGCGUGAGUGAUGAAGGUCUUCGGAUCGUAAACCUCUAUCAGCAGGGAAGAACGGUCACUCUGCUAAUCAGCAGUAAAUUGACGGUACCUGCAUAGGAACCACCGGCUAACUACGUGCCAGCCGCCGCGGUAAUACGGAGGGUGCGAGCGUUAAUCGGAAUUACUGGGCGUAAAGCGCUCGUAGGCGGUAUGUCAAGUCAAGGGUGAAAUCCCCGCGCUCAACGUGGGAACUGCCUUGGAAAAUGGCAAACUGGAGUGUGUGAGAGGAUAGUGGAAUUCCAGGUGUAGGAGUGAAAUCCGUAGAUAUCUGGAGGAAAAUCAGUGGCGAAGGCGACUAUCUGGCACAUAACUGACGCUGAGGAGCGAAAGCGUGGGUAGCAAACAGGAUUAGAUACCCCUAGUAGUC